GAUGAACGCUAGCGACAGGCUUAACACAUGCAAGUCGAGGGGCAGCAUAGAAGUAGCAAUACUUUGGUGGUGACCGGCGCACGGGUGAGUAACGCGUAUGCAACCUACCUAUCAGAGGGGAAUAACCCGGCGAAAGUCGGACUAAUACCGCAUAAAACAGGGGCACCGCAUGGUGAUAUUUGUUAAAGAAAUUCGCUGAUAGAUGGGCAUGCGUUGCAUUAGGUAGUUGGUGAGGUAACGGCUCACGAAGCCGACGAUGGAUAGGGGAACUGGGAGGUUCGUCCCCCACACUGGUACUGAGAUACGGACCAGACUCCUACGGGAGGCAGCAGUGAGGAAUAUUGGUCAAUGGGCGAGAGCCUGAACCAGCCAAGUCGCGUGAAGGAAGAAGGAUCUAUGGUUCGUAAACUUCUUUUGCAGGGGAAUAAAGUGCAGGACGUGUCCUGUUUUGUAUGUGCCCUGAGAAUAAGGAUCGGCUAACUCCGUGCCAGCCGCCGCGGUAA
rnacentral:rRNA from 1 species